GACAGAGGUCCCGAGCGUUAGGCGGAAUCACUGGGCGUAAAGGGCGCGUAGGCGGCCAAGUAAGUUGGGGGUGAAAGCCCGUGGCUCAACCACGGAAUUGCCUUCGAUACUGCUUGGCUUGAGACCGGAAGAGGUGAGUGGAACUGCGAGUGUAGAGGUGAAAUUCGUAGAUAUUCGCAAGAACACCAGUGGCGAAGGCGGCUCACUGGUCCGGAUCUGACGCUGAGGCGCGAAAGCGUGGGGAGCAAACAGG
rnacentral:rRNA from 1 species